GAUUGCAUAAUUUGUGGUAGUGGGGGACUGCGUUCGCGCUCUCCCCUGAUAAGAAUGUGAAAAACAAACUAUUAUGUGUGAGAUCGGCGUAUCUGUGUGCGUUAUUCACAAACAGCGAUUCUUUUUGUGAAACGCUCCUGAACGUAUUCUCCAAAUGUGCAACACUCUCAGCCAAUCAAACGCUCAUAAUUAGCGGUCAAGAGUGUGUAGAGCCAGUAGCCUAUCACAACGCUCCAGUGUCUGCAGCUACACAGACGCUCAAACAGUGCACUGCCGUUUCGCUCUUCUUGUGUCCUUCGAGAAUGUGAGAAUGUAGAAUGCUUAUUUGCUGGAAGUGGGGGAUUGAGUGUGAGAUUUAUCCUGACAUUUGCUUAAAUGGCCUCCCAUUCCAGUUACACGUCUACGAAGAGGACGACGCCACGCACUUGACGCUCUCCGAGCGAGUUCAGCCGAAUGGCUUUCAUUCAUCAUAUCUGUCGUACCUAGCUUAUUAAUGUAUUUUUGCCCCUUUUUUCUUCCCACUCACUGCGGAGGCUACUUUGCCCUAAUACAACCAGCCUCGUUCGCUUCAUGUCAACCACUUAGCCAUACAAAACUAUGUUUUUUAAGAGUUUCAAUGGGAGAGAUUGUAGACCGGACACCUGUCAAUCAAACACCUCCCUCUAUUGGCAGAAUCUGAUCAUGACUGUGUGUGACUGGUGAGCUGUAUUUGUAUCGACUGUCUGUAUCUGUUUUCAUAUUUAUAUUGUAUAUUAUUUAUUAAACCUGUAUAUAUGUACAUAUCUUCUGUAUACUCACUUAGAAUUAUGGUUGCAAUUAUACUGUGUAAUUGCCUGUCUUUUGUAAUAUCUGUAUCCUGCAUGAUACAGAUUUACUUUGUUUUUAUGGUGUUCAAAGCCAUAUUGUUUUCUGAACACCACACAAACAAAGUAGUUUAACCUUUGCCCUCAUGCAAACUCCACAUUGAAAGGUUAAAAAAAGGCAAAACAACCUGUAUGGAAAGCUAUCACUGGUGUGGAUCUGUUUACAUUAAAAGUGCCUUAGCAGAGCUUAAGUACAGCUUAUCACCUUUAUGUUUGUUGCUACUGUAAUAGGGGAAUGUUCUGGAUGAGGAAUUGACUGUCUUGUCAUGUUUAUGAAUUUUUAUAUUCUGUUAAUUGUUGUAUGAAAAUAAAGGUCAGAGAGGUUUAUUGGAGUGCAAUUUGUUUUUUUAAUAACUCACAUUUUCAAUAAUAAAAUAGGUUGUCACAGGUUUAUAAACACAGGUGUAAAAAAACAUUAAUAAUUGUAAUAUUAGCUUAAAAUCUAAAUCUAAAACAGCAAUGACAACCAAGAUAAAGAUUAAAUAUACAUUAUAGAAUAUAAAGCCUUGUCCUGGAGAUCAAUGUAAACAGUGUCACGAUCCUACUGUUGGGUAAGGUUAAGCUGGUUGGUAACUGGUGGUCAUGGUAACGGUGGGAGUGGCUCCCUUGAUUGGUUGAUUGGGGUCACCUGGGGGAUCCAAGAUGGUGGAUAUACACAGCAUGGUGGCCAGUGGUUACAGCCCCGGCAGGAUAAGACUUUGUAAAGCCAUUCACCCAGAUGCCAGUACACUCCAGAGCUAAGGAGUCCAACGGGGGACGUGACCACCCCUUCACCGUCUUUGUUUGUCAAGUGUUUGUCUAAACAUGUAAACCAAAACUGAACGAGACAGCUACCGUUCACCACAACGCUUGGGCUAUCUCCAUAGCAAGAGAGAGAAGGACCAGCGCUCACCAGGAACCCAGGUGAGUCACUACACACGUGCCCCGGAAGCUAGUUGCCUACCAGCUGUGGUUAUACCACGUAUGUGUCUCGACUCCUGCCUAGACAGAGAGCCGGUUUUCCCUAGAUACCAGUGGGGUCGUGACAAAGGCAUCAAGCUCGUAGUGCAAGAGAAUUAUUAUGCCUGUGACAGAGGUAACAAGUGCAUAUAGCCUAUAUAUAUAUACACACACAAAACAAGAUUUUGAUCAGUUUUGACAUUUGUGAUUUGCACAUUAAGGAAGUAAUUAGUAAGUAGUUUCCAAGAAGGUGCAUAAAGAUAUGUCAUGAACUGGAAAAAGAAUGAUUGCAUCUGCUAAAUAUAUACAAAGAACACAGCAAGCACAACAGUAAAAACACCUCUAAAAUAUAAAAUUCAAACAGUGAGAAAUAAGGUGCAUAGUGAAAUAUAAUACAAAACGAAUGAUUGUGUCUGUCAAAUAUUAAUAUAUAUAAUAUAUACAAUGAGCCCAGUGUCAGAGCAUUCAAGCGCUGCUCUAAGGGGCCUGGGACUGAUAGGCCAGAAGCUCGUCUUCUGGCCCCGUCCGUGUGCGGCCUCUCAUCCGGGAGCUCUGCAGCGGGAGGUAGGCUGGUGCUGGUGACGCUCUGCGGACGCUGGAGGAUAGACAAACCUCGAUCCGUCACGUUUGUGGCUGAGAAGGCUCCUGUCUCCUUAUGAACUCAGCAACAGAUUUGUUGUUCAUUUUCAGGAUGGGAAUCCCUAGAUUGCUGAUUUCAGCGUCAUCCACGGUCACUCUCUGUUGCACCCGCUGGUAGAGUGUGGUGAUCUGGUGCUUGAGAGGGGAGCCGCGAGCCUUUUUCCUGCAGUCCGGGUGAAGCCAGAGCUGUUUAACGAUGCAGUACAUCAGCCGGUUCUUCCUGGAGUCAAGCAGGUGGGCGGGAGAGACACUGAGGACAAUGAGGACAAAAGCUUAGGAAGCCACAAGGAUCAUAUUGGGUUGAAACAGAAAUAAAGAAUAAUCCUUAAAGGGUGCCUUUUAACCAGUUUUAUUUUAAACUGAUUUAAAGUUUUAUAUUCAAUAAAUGUACAGUUAUAUGAGCUUAAUGUUGAUCUGUGAAUGGCAUCGAUAAAAUAAAAAAAUGAUUUACCUUGUCCUUCAAAAGU
ensembl:lncRNA